ensembl:lncRNA
GCAAUAAUUAAGAAGUUCCAGUCAACUGGAAAUGUUAUGAAUCGACCUGGAAUUGGACGUGUGUCUGUAUCGUCUCGACGCACUGUGAAGAGGACGGUUCGAGUGGAUAAAACAUCUCCGAGGAUCCCAGCUGGAGAACUGCAGAGUCCACCAGCGUGGACCUUGAAAUGUGAAGGAUCUGGAGACCUCAUCAGGCGUUAUCGGGGAAGACUCAGAGCUGUUACCUCAGCAAAGCGAGAAAGCAAGAGCUGGGAGAAGGAGAAAUGGGUUUCGCAUUUUUUGGAAGGAGUCUCCAGUGUCAGAGGAAAAUAAUCGACUUGAGCGUGUA